rnacentral:rRNA from 1 species
AACGAACGCUGGCGGCAGGCUUAACACAUGCAAGUCGAACGGGCCCUUCGGGGUCAGUGGCAGACGGGUGAGUAACGCGUGGGAACGUGCCCUUCAGUUUGGGAUAACCCAGGGAAACUUGGGCUAAUACCGGAUACGUGCGAGAGCAGAAAGAUUUAUCGCUGAAGGAUCGGCCCGCGUCUGAUUAGCUGGUUGGUAGGGUAAUGGCCUACCAAGGCGACGAUCAGUAGCUGGUCUGAGAGGAUGAUCAGCCACAUUGGGACGGAGACACGGCCCAAACUCCUACGGGAGGCAGCGGUGGGGAAUAUUGGACAAUGGGCGCAAGCUUGAUCCAGCCAUGCCGCGUGAGUGAUGAAGGCCUUAGGGUUGUAAAGCUCUUUCAGUGGGGACGAUAAUGACGGUACCCGCAGAAGAAGCCCCGGCUAACUUCGUGCCAGCCGCCGCAGUAA